rnacentral:lncRNA from 1 species
CAAAGAGAAAGAAGAAGAUUGACGCCACGACCAUCAUUUGGAACCAGCUUCACAGCAUGGCCCGGUAUGGGGGUUUCAAGCCUUCUCUGAGCCCCAUCUCUACCGCCCUGGCCCUCCAUUUCGGCCUCUUCCCGCCGACCCAGGUUCCCUCACACCUGCGCGCCUCUGAGACAAGGGCGAUUAAUCACUCUGAGCUCAAGACUUUUGUGGCCAAAGACUUCACCAUCAUUCCACAGGCCAAACGCCCCAACGUCCGUUCCAUUUUGCAGCAACUCCAACGGGGCGAGGGC